rnacentral:tRNA from 2 species
GCCCCGAUGGCUCAGUUGGUUAGAGCGCAGGUCUCAUAAUCCUGAGGUCGCAAGUUCGAACCUUGCUCGGGGCA